UUCCGGUUGAUCCUGCCGGAGGUCACUGCUAUUGGGAUUCGGCUAAGCCAUGCAAGCGGAGGGCGCGGUCGAAAGAUCGUGGCCCCGCACACUGCUCAGUAACACGUAGUCAACCUACCCUUGGGACGGGGACAACCUCGGGAAACUGAGGCUAAUCCCCGAUAGGUGAGGGACGCUGGAAUGCCUCCUCGCCCAAAGCUCCGGCGCCCAAGGAUGGGACUGCGGUCUAUCAGGCUGUUGGUGGUGUAACGGACCACCAAACCUACGACGGGUACGGGCGAUGGGAGUCGGAGCCCGGAGAUGGGGACUGAGACAAGGCCCCAGGCCCUACGGGGCGCAGCAGGCGCGAAAACUCCGCAAUGCGCGCAAGCGUGACGGGGGAAUCCCAAGUGCCGUUGGUCUUAUGAUCGACGGUUUUUAGGAAGUCUAAGAAGCUUCCAGAAUAAGGGCUGGGCAAGACUGGUGCCAGCCGCCGCGGUAACACCAGCAGCCCAAGUGGUGACCACGAUUAUUGGGCCUAAAGCGCUCGUAGCCGGAUCAGCAAGUCCCUUGUGAAAUCGGGCCGCCUAACGGUUCGGCGUGCAAGGGAUACUGUUGGUCUUGAGGCCGGGAGAGGUCGGAGGUACUCCUGGGGUAGCGGUGAAAUGCUCUAAUCCUAGGGGGACCACCAGUGGCGAAGGCGUCCGACCAGAACGGACCUGACGGUGAGGGGCGAAGGCUAGGGGAGCGAACGGGAUUAGAUACCCCGGUAGUCCUAGCUGUAAAGCAUGCGGGCCAGGUGUCUAGCGCUCCUUGAGGGCGCUAGGUGCCGGAGGGAAGCCGUUAAGCCCGCCGCCUGAGAAGUACGGCCGCAAGGCUGAAACUUAAAGAAAUUGGCGGGGGAGCACCACAAGAGUGGACCUGCGGUUCAAUUGGACUCAACGCCGG
rnacentral:rRNA from 1 species